ACUUCUUCUUCUUUUUCUUCUUAUUCUUCUUAGACUCCUUCUCAAUUUCACCUUUCUCUGUACCAGAUGACUUGCUUAUCUUAGUUUCUCUCUUGAGUGUACCCAUCUUGCGUCUGUACCUGACCUCUUUCUCCAGCAUGCAGACGUCUCUUCGUAAGCUGACCAAUGCAAGAUCUUUAGCAAUAUUGGCUGUACACACGGCUGGGGAUGCUAACAAGAGAAGGUGAAGCAAACCCUGAUGCUAUAAAGACUGGACGAUAAAUGUGUCAAUGUCAUCACGGGUUACGAGUUUUAGACUCUGCCUUCAACUUUUCCGUUUUGAUUUUAAAUGACUUCUCAAGCUCUGGCAAGACUAGGUCUCUGUAAUAUAAGAAUUUCCUGUUGUGUGUUGUCAAACUGACGAGUCUCUCCUUGGCCUCUCUCUGCUCUUUUUGGAGCCUCCAAACAUCUCCUGCAGCCAUAUCUCUUUGCAUGACAGCCUCCUGCGAGCAUGUGUUUGAUGUGAGGAACAAGGAAUUCUGUCGAGUCUAGAUUGGAAAUCCUUCCUCCAUCACAGCUUUUGAAUAAGUUAGGUCAAUUACACUUGCUUAAAAAUUCUCCUACUUUGAUUGAUAGAUAGGCAAUUGGAGUCGAAUCAACUAUCUUUUCUCAAUAGACACUGACUGAUUCACUCUCUGGAUACUUACCAGUUUCAGUCCAAGAUUUUGGCUGCUUUGGGAUAAAAUUACAUAACAUAAGAAAUAAAGAGUACCCGUGUCAGACAGA